rnacentral:tRNA from 1 species
GGGCCAAUAGCUCAGCUUGGUUAGAGCGCACGGCUGAUAACCGUGAGGUCGGCGGUUCGAAUCCGCUUUGGCCCACCA